GACGAACGCUGGCGGCGUGCUUAACACAUGCAAGUCGAACGGACUUAUUCAACGGAAGUUUUCGGAUGGAAGUUGUUUAGGUUAGUGGCGGACGGGUGAGUAACGCGUGAGUAACCUGCCUUACAGAGGGGGGACAACAGUUGGAAACGACUGCUAAUACCGCAUAAUGUAUCGAGAAGGCAUCUUCUUGAUACCAAAGGAGCAAUCCGCUGUAAGAUGGACUCGCGUCUGAUUAGAUAGUUGGUGGGGUAACGGCCCACCAAGGCGACGAUCAGUAGCCGGCCUGAGAGGGUGGACGGCCACAUUGGGACUGAGACACGGCCCAAACUCCUACGGGAGGCAGCAGUGGGGAAUAUUGCACAAUGGGGGAAACCCUGAUGCAGCGACGCCGCGUGAGUGAAGAAGUAUUUCGGUAUGUAAAGCUCUAUCAGCAGGGAAGAAAAUGACGGUACCUGACUAAGAAGCCCCGGCUAACUACGUG
rnacentral:rRNA from 1 species